UACAGAGGUCUCAAGCGUUGUUCGGAUUCAUUGGGCGUAAGGGUGCGUAGGUGGCGCCGUAAGUCGGGUGUGAAAUUUCGGAGCUUAACUCCGAAACUGCAUUCGAUACUGCGGUGCUUGAGGACUGGAGAGGAGACUGGAAUUUCAUGGUGUAGCAGUGAAAUGCGUAGAGAUCAUGAGGAAGACCAGUGGCGAAGGCGGGUCUCUGGACAGUUCCUGACACUGAGGCACGAAGGCCAGGGGAGCAAACGGG
rnacentral:rRNA from 1 species